GUCGUCAUCAGCCACCUCCUCGUCUCCUGUCUGACAUUCCAGAACCCUCAGUACGUGGGCAGUCUGGUUCCCACCUACAUCAUCGUGUUCCUCGUGGGUCUCUGGGCGUUCUUCUGCUCCGGGGGUUCUCUCCGGAACCUUAAACUCUGCCUUACCUGCAAAGACAAGGACUUCCUGUUGGCCAACCACCGGCCCAGAUAACAGAACACCACUAAAGACACACACACUGUAUGGGGACGCUAUCCAACAGGACACACACACACACACACACACACACACUGUAUGGGGACGCUAUCCAACAGGACACACACCACACAAACAAAUAAAUAAAUUAAAGACAAACUGGGUCAAUGAUAUGUCUCUCCCCUUCCCCCACCAUGUGUUCUGUGUUGUUUGUGGUGCUGGGGACUGGAAAUAGGCUCCAGAGUUGUCGUCCAGAUUAAAUAUUGUUUAAACACC